rnacentral:rRNA from 1 species
GAGCACCAGCCCCAGCAAGGCGCCGAAGAGGAACGCCAUGGCUCGCCUCGCCGCCCUCCACAGCCUGCCUCCCGCGUGCCGAGGUGGGUGCGUGGUGGUGUUCGGGCUGGAUUGAUUGAUGAGGAGAAGAGAAGGUGCGCGCAGGAGCGCUGCUCCGCUUUUCGCCUCGCCAAAAGGAAUUUAUGUUCUCCUUUUUACUGGGACAACUAUUCGUUUCUGUUCUGAGAUGUGCUUUGCGUAGGGCGUCGGUCACGGUGCGGGGCACGUGCCACGCAGAUAGAUUGGCG